rnacentral:rRNA from 1 species
CACCACAACGGGUGGAGCCUGCGGUUAAUUGGACUCAACGCCGGGCAGCUCACCGGAUAAGACAGCUGGAUGAUAGCCGGGCUGAAGACUCUGCUUGACUAGCUGAGAGGAGGUGCAUGGCCGUCGUCAGUUCGUACUGUGAAGCAUCCUGUUAAGUCAGGCAACGAGCGAGACCCACGCCAACAGUUGCCAGCAUGUCCUCCGGGAUGAUGGGGACACUGUUGGGACCGCCUCUGCUAAAGAGGAGGAAGGAAUGGGCAACGGUAGGUCAGCAUGCCCCGAAUUAUCCGGGCUACACGCGGGCUACAAUGGUCAGGACAAUGGGUAUCGACACCGAGAGGUGGAGGCAAUCUCCUAAACCUGUCCUUAGUUCGGAUUGUGGGCUGCAACUCGCCCACAUGAAGCUGGAAUCCGUAGUAAUCGCGUUUCAAAAUAGCGCGGUGAAUAUGUCCCUGCUCCUU